rnacentral:hammerhead_ribozyme from 1 species
AUCCAGCUGACGAGUCCAAAACAAGACGAAACGCGCGUCCUGGAU